rnacentral:tRNA from 1 species
GGAGGAGUCGCAUAGCUUGGUCCAUUGCGAGGGUUUGCUAAACCCUUGAGCUGAUAAAGCUCGCGUGGGUUCGAAUCCCACCUCCUCCG